GCCAUGAAACACACAGAAUGGUGGACCAACAGCUAUUCUUCUUAUUGCAAGCGACUUGAUUGAGCCAUUGAAUAACAUUAUUACUCCUAGAGUCCUUAUUAGCAAAUCUUUGGGCGAUAUCAUUAAGAAAGCUCUAUCUAAUGGAGAGAUGGUUAACAUAAAUCUUUAUUGGCCUGAAACUCUUCCACAUCCCGCUGAGAAGGUUGAGUAUAAGUUUUGGACAAAUAUCAAUGACGAAUGUGGACCACAAUGUGACAGCCUGAUUGAUUUUUUCAAGAAAUUUAAAUGAGCAGCCUAGAUACUGGAGCAGAAAGGGUACACUCAGUUCACCCCACAUUAUAUGACUCAGUAUUGCCCAAGAAAUUUUGCUUCGAGCAUUCAGUGCAGGUCUCAGUGCAUCAAUCAUGGGAGGUACUGUGCUCCAAACCGCGAUCCGGAUUUUAUGAGACAGUAUGAAAGGAGGGAUGUUGUGUUGCAAAUUCUACACGAUGUUUGCUUUUUUAAGGUGGCCAAUGAAAGUGGAAGGCCUUGGCUUUGGUGGGACUAUAUGACAGAUUUGGCAAUCCGUUGCCCAAUGGAAGAGAAGUACAGUCUACACUGCUUAAAUCAAGUUGUUAAAUCCCUAAUUGGUAGUGAUCUCAAGAAAAUAGAAAAUUGUGUUGGAGACCUUAAUACGGAUAUUGACAACCCAGUUCUUAAAGCCGAAGGGAAUGCACAAAUAUAUACUCCCAGAAGUCUAAACUGUUCAUAGUGCUCUUAUAGCCUCACCUGUCUCUUCAAUUUCUAACUGAUUCUGUACUAAUGUUUUGCUCAUCUUGCUCUUUUACAACUCUAAUUUCAGCUUGACAGGGGCACCGGUGGAGAUAUUACUAUAUUGCCAACUCUUGUUAUAGACGACAGACCGUAUGAAGAUAUAAAAACAAAUGAGUGUUUGCACAACAAUGGUAGCUGCUGGAUACUUUUCGGGGAAGAGUAUGUAAAUGCCCUGUUGUGCAAGGUGAAAAGUAUGUUGGUGACGGUUAUACUCAUUGUGAAGGUGUUCAACUCAAGAAGAUAGAAAAAUGUGUGGGAGACACUACUUCAGAUUUUGACAACCCAAACAUUCUUGAAGAUGAACUCGUUGUACUGGAUCAGGAUGCACAGGUGCUACUACCAAUUUUCCAUGGAACUAUUUUGGGCUUGUCUCUUAAAUUUCUCAUUGCCUCUGCACUGUAUAUAUGUUUUUACUCAUCUUGCUUAGACUUUCUGGUUUUAGAUAGGCAACGACUCUUUUGGAAUUAUUUAUGACUAUAUUACAAACUCUUGUAAGUUGUAAUUUGUAGUAAAUAACAAACAGUACACUGGUUUGGGAAGC